rnacentral:lncRNA from 1 species
GUUACUAUUUUAUAGUUCUACAUUAUUACUUUGCCCAGCACCUUGCUGAUAAAGAGUAACAAUGUAGGCAGAAUAAGGACUUCAGGAUGUUUUACAGGGACUAGGCAGGGCUUCUUGGAUUACAGAUGGAUGCCUGGACUUCUGUGUCAGCAUAAGCACCUGCUCACUUAUGGUUCCAUGAAUCCAACACUGUCACAGAUGAUCUUGUUUGGCAAAUAUCUGGCAAAGAUGGAUUCCAUAUCCAGGCGAUAUAGAUCCCAGAUAAAAGCCUGAAAGACAUGAUGCUGAGUCUUCUGAGAAGGAAGAAGUUACCUAGUACCCUGAAUGUUUUC